rnacentral:rRNA from 1 species
CUCGUAGGUGGUUUGUUACGUCGGUUGUGAAAUUCAGGGGCUCAACCCCUGACUUGCAGCCGAUACGGGCAAGCUAGAGUUUGGUAGGGGAGACUGGAAUUCCUGGUGUAGCGGUGGAAUGCGCAGAUAUCAGGAGGAACACCGAUGGCGAAGGCAGGUCUCUGGGCCAAUACUGACACUGAGGAGCGAAAGCGUGGGGAGCGAACA